UACGUAGGGUGCAAGCGUUAAUCGGAAUUACUGGGCGUAAAGCGUGCGCAGGCGGUUGUGCAAGUCAGGUGUGAAAUCCCCGGGCUUAACCUGGGAACUGCACUUGUGACUGCACAGCUGGAGUACGGCAGAGGGGGAUGGAAUUCCGCGUGUAGCAGUGAAAUGCGUAGAUAUGCGGAGGAACACCGAUGGCGAAGGCAGUCCCCUGGGCCUGUACUGACGCUCAUGCACGAAAGCGUGGGGAGCGAACAGG
rnacentral:rRNA from 1 species